UUUUGAAGUUAAUGUACUCUGCGUUUGUAUUGUCUGUAAAAAGUGAGAAGUCACACCAAGGCAAAUGGCUGUAACUUCCGCAUUAUCAAUAUUUGGUUGAUGAUCACUAUUUACAAAAUCAUUAUAGUAACACCUGUAUAAAAUCUAGUAAUCAUGGCAUUUAUUUUGGAUGAUUUAUAAUUGCUUUGUUAUAUGGAGCAGUUUGGUAGCCUUGGAGACUAGCCUAUUUAUGCUAUAGGCUGCUAGCUAAAUGAAGUAGAUUGCGAUCUAUCAAAUUUGUUUGUAAUGCAUCUUUUGUGUCACACAAUUUCUUACCUUGACAAAUGCGUUCACAACCAUACAACUAUGUUAAUGUAUUUUAAUAUAUAAAGUAAUACAUCCUUUCCAUUCAACUUUUGGCAACUUUGGCUCACUGGAUGCUUUAUUUGCAAUUAUAAAACGGUUAGUUCACUGUUCAUUGAAGCUUACUGUAUUAUGUAGAACUAGAAGAGUAUUGUGAGAAAGAGAUCGAUUGAGCGAGUUUAUUACCUCCAUUCAGAUUUAGCAUUUCCUUCAGGUCAGUCCUAUGUUCAUAAUAAAAAAUCUGUUUAAAUGUCUGAUGUAUUAUCUUGUCCUUUUAACAGUUAAGGGGUUUUCCCGUGACUGACAGCGCUAGUCAAAGCAUUUGUCAUUUGCGUCUUGUUCCGUGUUCACAACAAUUCAAUCUUUUCAAUGUAAAAGUCUUCACUGACUGACAUACUUGUAAGGUUGAAAUGGUGGAUUGUGUUCACCGACAAUGUUUUCUGGAAGUAUUCCUGAGCCCAUGUUGUGAUUUCCAUUACAGUAGCAUUCCUGUAUUCCUCACACAAAAGGCAAGAGUCAAACUGCCAACUAAAGGAACCACUGACCACCAAAAUGGUGACCAAACAUUUUCAAUAAAACAUCAGCAUCUAAACCUCUCUUAAUUCUCAAAAAGAACUUCUGCUGAGAUCUUGAGAGAUUGAUUGUCUUCUUUUAUCUUCAGUUGAUUUCAGGCUGUGUAGCUUUAAGUCAGUUGUAGUUGUGUUUCAUUUUCUGAGAGUGUAAGCAUGAUGUUGAACCAACAUCACACUGUAACCCUGAUUCAAUGCCAUUACUAUUGAUUUUUUGUUGAAAUUUUAACAUUGAUUCAACAUUAAUUGCGGGUGCAAAAGUGACAUUGAUUCAAUGCAGUUAACGUUGACACAUUAACAUUGAUUCAACGUUAUUUCGAUCAUUGAUGCUAUCUGGGAUAGAUUUGAUCUUCACACACAAAGUCAAAUCUACAUCUACAUAUGCCUCACACAAUGUAUGCAUAUAAUAUUAUUUAAGUCUUUACAUCUAGACUGCACUAUAACUGUGAAUUUCAUACAGUUAUUGUUUUGUUUUUUCUUUGGAUUUACUAAAUCACUUAGUUACCAUUUGUCUCACCAAAUUAAAUAUCAAAAUGUAUGUUAUUAUUUCUCAUUCUUACCUAAGCACAAAAUCUGUAUUAUCAUUAACGCCUUUGAAACAUUUCUGAAGCCUAUUUGAUUUGUUUCUUUGUAUUUUGUCCAUUUGACUUGUAACAAUGUUUUUGGACAUUAAUUCAAUUGAAUCUCUGUAUUUGGUUACACUGAAUAUUUUGCUGAUACUCUUAAUGAGAUGGGGUUUUUUAAACCUACAUUUAUUGUUUUGUUAUUGUGCAAUUUAUUUUGAACGUUUCCAGAAACAGUGUAACAGCUUGUAAGAUCUUCUUUAUUCUCGCCUUGACCACUUUAUCAACAUCGAUUUGAGGGCUUAUAGCCAGAAACCAAAUUAAUUUGACCACAUCAAACCCCUGACCAAUAACAAAUGUCAUAUGAAUGCUUUUGCUGUUUGUUGUGCUUUAUGUGCUUUUAAAUCACAGGAUUCCUGCUGCCAAAGUUCAAAUCCUGUGUCUUGUCUCAAAAGAGGGACAAGCAAGUUCUACCAUCGUCAGCGCCUGAUUGUUGUGGAGGUGUGAAGUGUUCAAUGGAUGAUUUGCAUAUCUAUGAAUGGUGCAACACCAUUUGAUGAAUAUCUCUCACAGGACUGAAAGGAGAACAAAGACUGAAGUCUGAACAACUGCUAUUGCAAAAGUCUGAAGUCUUGUAACCCAAAGGUCAUGGGUUCGAGUCUCAGGUCCGGCAGGGAAUGUUGGUGAGGGGAGUGAAUAUCCAGCGCUCUCUUCACCCUCAAUACCAUGACUGAGGUGAGACCCUUGAGCAAGGUACCGUACCCCCAACUGCUCCCCAGGCGCUGCAGCAAUGGCUGCCCACUGCUCUGGGUGUGUGUUCACUGCUGUGUAUGUACACUUGGAUGGGUUAAAUAAAGAGCACAAAUUCCUAGUAUGGGUUACCAUACUUAACCACAUGUCACUUCACUUUCUUUACAAGUAAAAAAUAGUACAAGUAGGCAUGAUAGUCUUUGCAAGACACGUGUUUGCACAGCAUCCUGUUUUGGUCAUUCUGUAAUGCCUGAGCAAAGUCUUUCGUCAAAGUGGUUCGGUAUAAAUCCCUCCCAGAAAUGUUUCACAAAAUUCCUGACACACUUGUAAGGUUGAAAAUAUCCAAAGAUAUUUUAAAUGAACAAAGACAUUUGCUUUACUGUUUCAACCCCCUUUCUCUUGCUACAAGGGUCAUUUGGAAGGCACAAAGGUGUUGAUAGUGAUCAAGGCCUGUAGGCCAAGUUGUGCUGAAAAUAAAAAGGAAGCAUUGUAAGAAGAAGGGAAAAGAGCUUGAGGUUCCUUGGUUUUCGGGCAAAACAGCUUGGAAUGACCUCCCUAAGUGACAGCAGCCUUUGAGUCACUUCAUUUAUUUGCCCAGCAGACAUUCUCACCUUUCUGUCUCCUCUAACCCACUCUGUGAUGAGCUUUUUCAUUACACCCAGGCAGGCUUGGUGCAUGUAGUCGAUUGGAAAUUGCUCUACCAUGUCCAGUGGGAGGCUCAAAAAGGGAGACAUUGGAAUAUCUUCAUUCUCCUGACGUCUUGUCAUUUCAGCACGAUUUGCUGGUUUGGUGGGACCAAGUGUCAGUGUUACAGGAAAGACACUGAUGGGUGACAGGUGAAUGGCACAGAGGAUGGGCCUGACGUCUUGUCAUGUGUCAUUGGUGCAUAGAGAGAGGUUGUUCACCUCUGGGUAAGUCACACGCCCAGAAAGGAAGCACCGUAACAGCAUCAUAUAAUUAAAAUGGGAA